UAAAGAUUUCAGAAACGUGUUGACUUAGAUUUGUGCUUCUUUCUGAAGUUAUUUUAUUGUUACAAAGCAUACAAAUACAUAACUCAGUGCCAAAUAAAGGGAUUCUGAAAGAAACAGAAAGCGGUUUCAAAACUAAGUGAAUGAAUAUGAGUGAAAGGUAAGUAUUAUCACAGGUAUUUUCUUUUUGCAUUGCAAAAACAAAACAAAUCCAAUGUUUAGGGCAAAAAUCAGGGCUCCCCAACAGUAGACCACAAUCUUGCAGAUGCUCAGGCAAUCCCAGAGCCAUGUGGCCCUGUUUUCAGCUCAUGCUCCUUCUGUCCCUGUAGUUUCAUGGGAAGGUGAUGUGGGCAGCACUGCUCCACUGAGCAUUCUCAGGAAUUUCAGUGUUUUUACCCCUUCCCUGCUCAGAGACAGGGCGUGCAUGUUGUCAAUAUCCUUGCUCAUCUUUGCAGACUUACAGCCACACCCUAACUACCAGUAACUUCAAGGAGCUACAUAUGAAUAAUAAAAUAUGUGUCACAGAAAAUUAUUAUGCUUGUGGCUGUGAAAGAUGUCCUCUGGUUUUGGUAGGAGCAGACACCAUCCAGCUAAUCAGUGCUGCAGGAAGAAUGUGUCCCAAUACCUUGAACUUCUCAGAAACCUUGAAAACUUUCUUCUAGAAAGAAGAGUCUAGACUAGGCUGGGAAAAGAUUGGGAUCAGAGGUAAGGUAUUAAAAGGUUAAGCCAGCUCCUCAUUAACCCCACUAGUGCAAGUAGGUGAUGGAGUGUGCAAUUCAGCAAAGCAAGACUCAGAAUCUCAGAGAGGAAGGAGAUCUGAGGACUUGCCUCACCCUCAUGCUUUAUUUUCAGAUAAACAAAGUCAGCUCAGAAACAAAAACAUGACUGUAUUUCAUCAAAUCUAAAAAGUGUCAACUAUCAGACACUUGUUAUUUUAUGUAGUCUUAAGAGUGACACAAAAUGCUGUUAAUAAAAUAGGAUAUGCCAUUGAUUGUGAAACACAUCUCAUUUUUAAAGUGGUAAAAGCAAAAACAAAAGCUUAAAAAAAAAUCUGAUAUGAUUUGGCUGUAUCCCCACUCAAAACUCAUCUUGAAUUAUAACUCCCAUAAUCCCCAUGUGUCGUGAGAGGGACCAGGUGAGAGGUAAUUGAAUCACAGGGUCAGGUUUUUCCCGUGCUGUUCUCAUGAGAGUGAAUAAAUCUCACAAGAUCUCAUGGUUUAAUAAAGGGCAGCUCCCCUGUACACACUCUCUUGCUUACCAUCAUGUAGGACAUGCCUUUGCUCCUUCGCCUUCUGCCAUGAUUGUGAGGCCUCCCUAGCCAUGUGGAACUGUGAGUCCAUUAAACCUCUUUUUCUUUAUAAAUACCCAGUCUUGGAUAUGUCUUUAUUUGCCCUGUGAGAACAGACUAAUACAGUGUCUUAGAAGGGGUAUCUUGAUGAAACAUAGUAAGCAACUUGCCUCCAAAUGCUCACUUCUCAGUCCUUAGGUCUCCUGUUGUUCCCCACUAUGCUCAUGCAGCUUCAUUUCCAAUGAGAAACCUAAAAUCCAGGAGUGAGGAAACUAUCUCAAAGUCACUGAGUGAAGAAGGAGCAGAGCCAGGACUCAUACUAGGCCCCUGAUUCCUUUGUGCUGGCUCCCACAACUCUAUAUUGCCUCUCACUCUAAGGUAUUUAUCUCUUGCUCUGGAAAACAGAGCUAAAUUAGUCAGAGAACAUUUGCCUCCUGAUUAGGUUUAGCUUAUGAUAACAUAAAAAUUAAAUUGCUGCCCUGAACACAUGCAGGCAGGCUGGAAGCAGCCUGGGUAGACAUUUACCAGGGUAAGAGAGGGUCUCUGGAUUUGAAACAUGCUCGGUAAAAUCUAUAAAGCAGGCAAUCCAUGUGCCAGGCAAUUGAAUAGCUAUUUAUCACAGUUAGAUUAGAUGUUUUACUCAAUCUAGACUUACUGGAAUAUGGGAGAGAGGCUGAGAAUAAUUUUAUUUUCUCACAGACCUGGCCCUUCCCUCUGCCACACAGCUAGAGCACUGGGAUUUCUCCACAACAUCUGUGCCACUGCUUAAAUGAUGGAAGUUUGCCAUGUCUGUAACUAAGAGCCUGGCGGCUGACAUGUGAGCCGUCCAGCCUCACAUGGUCCACAACCCCCUCAAACUUGAAAAGAAGGACAGAGCCACACAAGAGGACAGCUCCUUCUGCAGUGCCUCCUCUGGCCUGACUGGUGAGGUACAAGUUAGGCAUGGAAGAGAAUUAUCUGGAAUGUCUUAUCUGGCUGGUGCCCCAGGAAACCUGAGAUACUGUAUACCUCCUGUUCACAUACUAACACUUCUAAAUUUAGCUUAGGGAGGUGUGGCCUCUAAUUCUUCAUAUGAAGAUAAGCUUCCUUUAACUCAGUGUUUCAACCUCUGCAUCGUGACUAGAUGACAUGUGAGUGGAGAUACUGACCGCCCCCUGCCCCGCCUUCAUCCCUAGGCUGGUCAUCUGGCUGUGAACCGCUGUGAUUUUUAAAUCUGCCAGUGACUUAGACAAUAACAAAAGGUUGCAUCCAGACUAACUUGGCCCAUGUUAAGAACCCUGGGAGCUCAGCCCACAGAUCUCAAGAUGAGAGUGCAGUGCGCUAUCAAUUUCUACAAUCUCAAAAACAGUGAAAAACAAAACCCCUAUUGCUCCUUGGCUACUUUAUUCUUAUCUGCUGGGUGAUAGCUGAUAGUAAGGUGUUGAGAGCACCCAGAAGAGAAGGAACAGCCCAGCUGUCCAUGGUGGGAGAGGAACAAAGACACCUGCCUUCUCACGAGGUAUUUAGUUUCAUUGCAACACUACUCAGUCUUUUAACUUUUAUUUUCUCUGCCUCCCCUGCCUGAUGAAGAAAGGAGACAGCCUCAGAGCUAUGCCUCCAGACGCAUCAUUCCUCUUGCAACACUGACUGUUUUCACAGCAAGAUGGGCCCUUUAGCUCUCCUCAUGAAAUGUGAGGCUGUGUGCCCUCUCUGCCUUCCUCUGACUACAGAGGACCACUGGAAUGUAUUUAUGGAGUUGGAAGAGUCAGAAUGCGUUUGCCUAUGAAAAUUUUUUUUGGAACUGAAACAAAACAAAACAAAAAAGCCCAACCAACUUUGAACUUGUUUUCACUAGCCCAGCCGAUGUGCCACUAUAAGCCUUCAAGGGCCUUACCCCAGCAAGGCCUCUGCUUUGGUGCUCUCCAUGACGCAAUCUGUCUCUCUGCAGACACAACUCUAAGGUGUCUCCAGAGCCAAAGUCAGGUGAAGAAAUGGGGUUAUUGUGUGGAUUAUUUUAGGUCAGAAUACAGGCCAAAAAAACAAAACUGGUUCUGUUUGAAAUUGCCUGGCUGCCCUCAUUUUGUCACUUGACUUUACAUGGAGAGAUACUGCUCCAGGAAUUACCCAAAUGACAAAAUAAACAAACAAACAAAUAAAACCGUACAUUCUGCACCAAGAAUAAAUAACGCAAAGUGGAGACUGAGCUUAUUAAUUUUUUCAAAGCCUUCCUUACCUGAAUAUGUUAAUGUGAAUUAAUGUGCUGGACUGGCCCAGAGGAAAAUAAAGUCCUUCUGUAGUUUAUCUUCUAUACCUAAAUUGGCAGAUCUAUGGAAUUCAUGUUUGCAUUACAUGUAAAGUUUUUACAGUUCUUACACCUGGAUAAGGAUCUUUUGACUGGAAAGGUCAAUAUAUUUCAAGGGCUUUGGCUCUGAGAAAGAACGGCUUGGUGGAUUCCAGGUACCAAAUCAUCUGUAAAAUCACAUGCCAAAUCCCAAAAGCUUACUGUCUCCAGGACCACAAACCAAUCAAUUUGGGAGGAAAUUGGCUCAAAUAACAUCAACACCCGUAAUGCCAAUGGCCAAACUCUAGAUGGUGAAUGUGAAAUCUUAAGUGGAAUCUGCUCCCAGGCCAAGACAAUACAACCAAAUCAUCUGGAUGCAAGUCAAGCUAUGAGGUGAAUGUGGGUAGUAUAGUCACCACUCAAAUUCGAACCAGAUGGUAUCAGUGUGACUGAUAAUGACAAAGACCCUCUCCUUGACUGAAUUUCAGCUGGGUUCCCCUGUGCCCUCUUCUUGACCAGGCCUCAACCUUGGCCCCUGUCCUGUCUGUUGCUUGCCUAGUCCAGUCUCAGCAAGAAUUCUGCCAAGUAAUUUUAUUGAGAAUUCCCCCACCCUUGAUAUCUGAUCAAGUUCCUGACCACACACUUUUGAUGUAUAAGUUCUUGGCUUGCCUUCAAGAAUCCUCUUCAGUUGGUUUAGCAACUUCCCCUUACCCUGGAUGUCUCCUCCCAGUGAUUUGCCAUCCAUUCACCCCCUCACUCUACUCAUUGGUUAUAAAUCCUUAUUUGUCUUUAUUGUAUUUAGAGUUGAGCCUGAUCGCUCUCCCCUCUUAAAAUAGUCUUGACACAUAUUGCAAUAGUCCUGAAUAAAGUCUUCCUUGCCAUUUUAAGACGUAUUAAAACAUUUUUUUUGACAUGAUAGCUAUGUUUAAUAGGAGCCAAAGGUCAAGGCACUUUGGCGACAACCACUGUCCGCUUAGCAAGGAGCUUAAGUUCAGCAAGGAGCCAAAAUUGACCAUUUUAGUUUUGAGGCUUUACCUUUAAAUAAACUAUUUAUUUUGGAAUGAAUUUAGAUUUAUAGAAAAGUUGCUAUGUGCUCCCUCACCCACUUAUUCCCAUUGUUAACAUCUUACUCAUCAAAACUAAGAAACCAACAUUGGUAGAUGGCUAUUAACUAAAAUCUAGACUUUAUUUGAAUUUCACCAGUUUUUAAAAUUAAUGCCCUCAUUCUGUUCCAGGAUUUCAUCUAGGUACUCCAUUGCAUUCAGUUGGCAUGUUUUCUGAGUCUACUCUGGUAUAUAAUGAUGUCUUAGCCUUUCCUUGUUUUCAUCACCUUGACACUUUUGAGAAUCACUGGUGAGGUACUGGGGAGAAUGUCCCCCAGUCUGGGUUAGUCCGAUGCUUUUCCCAUGAUUAGAUGGGCCAUGAUUUUUUGAAAAGAAUACCAUAGAAGCGAAGUAUUCUUCUUAUCACACAGUCAUGUUUUUGAGAUGACUUUUUGAUGUGGCAACUUUUGCUCAUUAACCUCACAGCAGGAUUCUUCAUACCUCAAAAGUGAAACCCACCUCUCAAGGCUUUACUGAAGAACUUUACUAAAGAUUUCAUACGGGAAGGUGGGGAAAGGAAAAGAGGAGAAAGUUACAUCACAUAUAACAGAGCACAAGUUAAUGAAAAUCCCCUCUAAUAUCCGUUUUUGCCCUUUUACAAAGGAAUGACAGCACCUGUAUCCUCCACUUGCCCAGGAAGUUUCCGGAAUCCACCUGCUCUAGCCCAUCUGUACCCCAGAUCCCCACUUUUUCUUGCUAUGCAUCUGCAUGCCAUCAUCUAGUUCAGCAAAAGACCUUCUGAAGACUAUCUGCGCAGAAGUCACCUGAAGAUAGUAUUAAUAACUAAGAAACAGUUUUUCAGUCUCAAAUAACUUUCUUCCUUUAUACAAAAAAAGGUUAUUAAAAACAUUUUUACUCCACAAUUUAUCAGUGAGAACUGACUUCAGAACAAUGCCCCUCAUCCAUGAUGAACUGGAAGGUUGAAGCAAACUGUCUUGUUCCUGGAAUCUAGGGGGUGGAAUGAGUGAAGAGGAGCUUACUUUGCUCAAGUGUUAAACAUUGGACUUUUCUUAACAGUCAUAUUAACAAAGUAUCACAAAUUUACUAAUUUUAUUUUACUUUAGUUGUUUGAGUCUCAGUCUCUUUCUAGCUCUUGGUCUUUAGGCAAGUCUAUUCCUAAACUUUCAAGAGAAAUAGAAACUAACCUAGAUUUCUUAUAAGGACAGGUAAUUUUUCCAUUUACUCACUUAACAAAAAAUUAUUCAUUGUGUUUAGUUGCUAGUCACUACCUAUUAAUAGAGUUUUUCUUUUAUUUACUUAUGUUUUAAUUCAACAGAUAUUUACUAAGCUCCUACUAAAUGUCUAGGAACAGAUUAGACCCUAGGGAUAGGGUUUCUACUCUCAUAGAACCUAUAGUCUAAGGAGGAGAUAGAUAUUAAACACAUAAUAAUAAAAAUGAAGUGUAUUAAAAGCUGUGAAGAGAAUCAUAAACAAAAGAUCAAGGAAGGAUGCAAUGUGUGUGUGUGUGUGUGUGUGUGUGCUUUGCCAGGUGUGGAAGGAGUUGAUUUACUUUUUAAGAGUAGAGGUCAGCGAAGGCUUAUCUGAGGGAGCAAUAUUUGCAAAUGAUCUGAAGACUUGAGUAAGCAUUAGCUAAACUGGCUAAAAAGAGGAAAAGUACAGACCAAUGCUGAAAGCAGGGCCUGCAGGAAUGUUCUAGGAACUUAACGUGACAGUGUGUCUGAAGUGGGGGGACUAAUGUGACCUCAUCAAUCAUGCAGGCCAGGCUAAAACCAAGUUUAAGAUUGUGAAUGCUGUUCUCCAGGUAGAGCUCACUGGUAAGCGCUCAGGAGGGCAAGAGCUAAGUAUUAAUAGCUCCUUCCCAUAAAAGAAGAGUAUUAUUUGAACUGUGAAUAUAAUGCUAAUUGACUUGUCCCUCUCUUCCUUAGCUAUCCAUCCCUGCUCCUACACAACCAUGCCCAUGUCUUAAGGAGAAUGAGGCAGCAAACUUUCAGUGUCCACUCAAACUCCCUGACACCACGCACCAUUCCCUAGCGAGGGUCAUUUGCAGUUAAAGACUGAUAUUUCUCUCUGCAGAAGGGAAGAGAUACAUUUGUGUAGAUCAGGUACAACAGUCCCAUUAGCACAUUUGCCUUAGUUCAAGGAUAACUAACUACAAUGAUUGCUGCAAAGAUCUUGUCUUUGUCUACACCUGAUUAUCCCAUUUUUAUUUUUAUUUUUUGGCACGUAGAAAGAUUUGUAAAUUUUAUAAUAUGUAAACAUAUUACAAAAUUUGCCAUUUUAACCAUUUUUAAGAGCUUAAUUGGGUGGCAUUAAUUACAUUCACAAUGUCGUUCAACCAUUGCCACUAUCUAUUUCCAAAACUUUUCAAUCAUCCCAAACAGAAACUCUGUACCAUUAAGCAAUCACUCCUAUUUCUUUCCUCUCCCUAGCCCCUGGCAACCACUAAUCUACUUUCUGUUUCUUUGACUUGCCUAUUCUAGAUAUUUCAUAUAAAUGAAAUCCUAUAAUAUGCGACCUUUUAUGUCUGAUUUCAUUCACUCAGCAAAAUGUUUUUAAAGUUCAUCCAUAUUACAGCAUGGAUCAGAACUAUAUUCCCUUUCAUGAUUAAAUAAUAUUUCACUGCAUGUAUAUACCAUAUUUGGUUAUCUAUUUAUCUGCUGAUGUACAUGGGUUAUUUCUAUAUUUUGGCUAUUGAGAAUAAUGCCGUUAAGAACAUUACCUAAAAGUAUCUGUUUGAAUCGUAUGUUGAAUUCUUUUGGGUUUAAUAUACAUUUUUAAGAAAUAACACAUUUUUAAAAAUUGAAGUAAAAUCCAUGUAAGAUAAAAUUUACCAUUUGUAUUAGUCCAUUUUCACACUGCUAUGAAGAAAUAUCUGAGACUGGGUAAUUUAUAAAGGAAAGAGGUUUGAUUGACUCACAGAUCCGCAUUGCUGGGGAAGCCUCAGAAAAC
rnacentral:lncRNA from 1 species